CGGCGAACUGGUGAGUAACAGGUGGGUAACGUGCCCUGAAGUGGGGAAUAACCAGAGGAAACUCUGGCUAAUACCGCAUGUGGCCCUGUGGACCCCGGUCCAAUGGGUUAAAGAUUUCGAUCGCUUCAGGAUCGGCCCGUCCCCGAUUAGCUUGUUGGUGAGGUAACGGCUUACCAAGGCGACAAUCGGUAGCUGGUCUGAGAGGAUGGUCAGCCACACUGGGACUGAGAUACGGCCCAG
rnacentral:rRNA from 1 species